GAUGAACGCUAGCGGCAGGCUUAACACAUGCAAGUCGAGGGGCAGCAUAAAUAGUAGCAAUACUAUUGGUGGCGACCGGCGGACGGGUGCGUAACGCGUAUACAACCUUCCCUAAACAGGGGGAUAAUCUGGAGAAAUUCGGUCUAAUACCCCAUAACAUCAGAGCAGGCAUCUGUUUUGGUUAAAAUUUCCGGAGGCUGAGGAUGGGUAUGCGUAGGAUUAGCUAGUUGGUGAGGUAACGGCUCACCAAGGCGACGAUGCUGAGGGGGACUGAGAGGUUAACCCCCCACACUGGUACUGAGACACGGACCAGACUCCUACGGGAGGCAGCAGUGAGGAAUAUUGGUCAAUGGGCGGAAGCCUGAACCAGCCAUGCCGCGUGCAGGAUGACGGCUCUAUGAGUUGUAAACUGCUUUUGUACGAGGGUAAAGUGGGCUACGUGUAGCCUUUUGAAAGUAUCGUACGAAUAAGGAUCGGCUAACUCCGUGCCAGCCGCCGCAGUAA
rnacentral:rRNA from 1 species